GACCGCGUAGCUCAGUUGGCAGAGCAUUGGAUUGGUAUUCCAAAGGUCGUAGGUUCGAAUCCCACCGUGGCCA